rnacentral:lncRNA from 1 species
ACUCUCCUUCCACUGACCAUUGAAAAUGGGGGAAGAAAAAAGCGAUGAGGCUUCCUCUUUGAAGAUCACAGGUGAGAAGAUUAGGUGCUUUCUCAGAAGCCCAGCAACCUGAUGGGAGUGUGGAGUGAGCAAGACCCAAAUCGGAGCUUCAUCCCUGCAUGGUUCAUUUUGCUUAUUUGGCAAACUUGCCCUGCAGAAUCUACUCAAGCUUCCUCAGUUUCUCAAAUCAUUCUUGGGCAACAAAUGAACAAGAAAGAGGACGUCUUAUUAUCUGGUGUCUGGCUUGCUGAUUUAAUAACCUAGGAGACAGUGUUUGAAGAACACAAACUCUAAAGUCCUUCACUUAAAAAAAAAAAAAAACUUUCCCAAAUUGCUUACCAUUUGGAAAAAUUGCCUUACCUUCUUCAGUCAUCUCUGAUGUUGUCAUCCUCAGAGUAAGAAGUACGCAUUCAUAAGGAACCAUAACGUCCUUCAGGAAAUCCAGUACACCCUACAAUUUUACCUAAAACUUUGAUGUUGUUUUUUCUGAGCAUUUUACCUUCUAGGGAAAUGGAUCUCAUGCUGUUUAUCAGUUUCUGAAAGUUGUUAUUAAUCUCCCCUCAUCCCAAAAUUGAAGAACUUUGCUUAAAUCUUAGAAUCAGAACUUUGGCUCCAGUAAUAAAGACUUUUCAAUAUCUUUAUCUGCCAUUGAGUCUUACCUAACGAAAUAAAGCCUCCAAAGUGGGAAUUUGAAAUGUUUUAGAAUCUUUUUUUUUCCUUUUGACAUAGUGAUUGGUGGGAUG